AUUACAAAUAGCACUGUGAUUGGAUGGAUUUCAAGCCAUCCAAUCACAGUGCUAUUUGUAAU
rnacentral:miRNA from 1 species